GUGCCAGCAGCCGCGGUAAUACGAAGGGGGCUAGCGUUGUUCGGAAUUACUGGGCGUAAAGCGCACGUAGGCGGAUUUGUUAGUCAGGGGUGAAAUCCCGGGGCUCAACCUCGGAACUGCCUUUGAUACUGCAAGUCUCGAGUCCGGAAGAGGUGAGUGGAAUUCCUAGUGUAGAGGUGAAAUUCGUAGAUAUUAGGAAGAACACCAGUGGCGAAGGCGGCCCACUGGUCCGGUACUGACGCUGAGGUGCGAA
rnacentral:rRNA from 1 species